GAAACGAUGACUCUCGGCAACGGAUAUCUCGGCUCUCGCAUCGAUGAAGAACGCAGCGAAAUGCGAUACUUGGUGUGAAUUGCAGAAUCCCGCGAACCAUCGAGUCUUUGAACGCAAGUUGCGCCCGAGGCCAUCAGGCCAAGGGCACGCCUGCCUGGGCGUCACGC
rnacentral:rRNA from 1 species